GUGAAAUAAAGUUAUUUUUGAUUAUUUAUAAAUUAUUUUAUUAAAAUUAAUCUAGUAAACUUUAAAAAUAAGAACGCAAAGUGGUAUUUUAUUUUUUACUUCAGCUACAAUUAUAAGGAUUGGCUCUACUGAAUAUGGCUAUUGAAACGAAUGCUAUCAAUGGAGAAACUAACAAUUCCCAUGCAAAUGCCUCCAAUUCACCAACUUGCGCCGAUAAUAAAUCCAAAACGUUGAAAAGUGUCAAUGAUAAGAAAAAUAAGAGUAAAUUUAUUCAUGGUGGAAGCAGAAAGAAACCUAAUGUGAAUAGACUGAGUUCCAAUUUAAAAUCUAAGAAGCCUAGUACUAAAGCUAAACAUAACGAUGAUAGCGUUGAUAAUAAUGAAGUUACAUUUAAUGUGGGUAAUACUAAUGGUAAUAAAAUAACUCAUUCUAGUGCAACCAAAUCCAAAAAAAAUUUGAAUAGAAAAAGAGUUGCGAUAAAAACUAAAGCGAUUAAAAAAGAUAGCACUACUUAUCAUCCACCAUACAACACAAUGAUUCUACAAGCUGUUAGUGAUCUCUUGGAAAAAGGUGGAGCCUCGAUUUCUAAGCAAGCCAUAGUUAAAUAUAUUCUUCAGAAUUAUGAAUUGGGAAUAGACAUGAAAUCUAUUAACUCUCGCAUGAAAAUAGCUAUAAAGCGAUGCGUGGAAAGCCAGACAAUUAAACAGAUUAGUGGAAGUGGCGCAACGGGUUCUUUUAGGCUUAAUGACUCAAAACCAGUUCAACCCCAUUACAGCAGUAGCUCACGAGGGAAAAUGACUUUAUCCUCUCCAAAAAAAGUUGUUAAAAAGCCCAAAAAAUUAUCCCCAUCGAAACCGAUUCCUGUGGUGGAUAAAACUCAAAACUCUUCUCGUAUUAGUAACCUUUCAAAAUCAUCAAAAUUUACUAAAAAUAAGAGUAAAAGGAAAUCUAAUACCAAAGUGACUAUUAAAAGUAGUAAUACUCUCCAGAAAUCAACCAAAUCAGCUGGGAAAGACAAAAAACACCCUUCAAAAUCGAAUAAAUCAAGAAAAUAACAAAAAUCAUUAUUUGAUUAGCAUAUUUUUAAAUUAUUCUAUGGAGACCUUAUUAAAUUUUAUGGGUUAGUAUAAUAUUUAAAAAUUAGAAAAACAACCUUAAUGAAUUAAGCCUUAUAAGUCAAUGAAUAAUUGAUAUAAUACUGUUUGUUUUAAUAGUUUUCUGAAAAUCCAACAUGAUAUGGAA